rnacentral:rRNA from 1 species
CCUACGGGUGGCAGCAGUCGAGAAUCAUUCACAAUGGGGGAAACCCUGAUGGUGCGACGCCGCGUGGGGGAAUGAAGGUCUUCGGAUUGUAAACCCCUGUCAUGUGGGAGCAAAUUAAAAAGAUAGUACCACAAGAGGAAGAGACGGCUAACUCUGUGCCAGCAGCCGCGGUAAUACAGAGGUCUCAAGCGGUGUUCGGAAUAACGGGGCGUAAAGGGUGCGUAGGCUGUUUCGUAAGUCGUGUGUGAAAGGCGCGGGCUCAACCCGCGGACGGCACAUGAUACUGCGAGACUAGAGUGAUGGAGAGGGAACCGGAAUUCGCGGUGUAGCAGUGAAAUGCGUAGAUAUCGAGAGGAACACUCGUGGCGAAGGCAGGUUCCUGGACAUUAACUGACGCUGAGGCACGAAGGCCAGGGGAGCGAAAGGGAUUAGAUACCCUUGUAGUC